CCCGAAAUAGCUUUAGGGCUAGCCUCAAGGUGAGAGAUACGGAGGUAGAGCACUGAAUGUCCUAGGGGGGAUUGCACCUACCGAAGACUAUCAAACUCCGAAUGCCGUCAUCUUAUACUUGGGAGUCAGACUGUGGGUGAUAAGAUUCAUAGUCGAAAGGGCAACAGCCCAGAUCGUCAGCUAAGGUCCCUAAAUGUAAGUUAAGUGGUAAAGGAUGUGGGAUUGCACAGACAACCAGGAUGUUGGCUUAGAAGCAGCCACUCAUUCAAAGAGUGCGUAAUAGCUCACUGGUCGAGUGAUCCUGCGCCGAAGAUUUCCGGGGCUAAA
rnacentral:rRNA from 1 species